rnacentral:rRNA from 1 species
GUACCCCUACGGGGCGCAGCAGUGGGGAAUAUUGCACAAUGGGGGGAACCCUGAUGCAGCAAUGCCGCGUGGGUGAAGAAGCACUCCGGUGCGUAAAGCCCUGUCAGCAGGGAAGAAAAUGACAGUACCUGGACAAGAAGCCCCGGCUAACUACGUGCCAGCAGCCGCGGUAAUACGUAGGGGGCAAGCGUUAUCCGGAUUUACUGGGUGUAAAGGGAGCGCAGGCGGUCUGUUAAGUCAGCGGUCAAAGCCCGGGGCUCAACCCCGGCCCGCCGUUGAAACUGGCAGUCUCGAGUUGGAGAGAA